GACAGAGGGUGCAACCGUUGUUCGGAAUUACUGGGCGUAAAGCGCGUGUAGGCUGCUCUGCAAGUCGGAUGUGAAAGCCCUGGGCUCAACCUAGGAAGUGCACUCGAAACUGCGGAGCUCGAGUCUCGGAGAGGAUCGCGGAAUUCUCGGUGUAGAGGUGAAAUUCGUAGAUAUCGAGAGGAACACCGGUGGCGAAAGCGGCGCGCUGGAUCUCACCUGACGCUGAGGCGCGAAAGCCAGGGGAGCAAACGGG
rnacentral:rRNA from 1 species